rnacentral:rRNA from 1 species
UACGUAGGGUGCAAGCGUUGUCCGGAUUCAUUGGGCGUAAAGGGUGCGUAGGCGGCGGGGUAAGUCUGAUGUGAAAUCCUGGGGCUCAACCCUGGAACUGCAUUGGAUACUGCCUUGCUAGAGAACUGGAGAGGAGACGUGGAAUUUACGGUGUAGCAGUGAAAUGCGUAGAGAUCGUAAGGAAGACCAGUGGCGAAGGCGAGUCUCUGGACAGUUACUAGCGUGAGGCACGAAGGCCAGGGGAGCAAACGGG